GAAAUGGUAGUUCUCUCGGAGCCUUUGCACAGGUGCUGCAUGGCUGUCGUCAGCUCGUGCCGUGAGGUGUUGGGUUAAGUCCCGCAACGAGCGCAACCCUUAUCGUUAUUUGCCAACACGUAAUGGUGGGAACUCUAACGAGACUGCCUGGGUUAACCAGGAGGAAGGUGAGGAUGACGUCAAGUCCGCAUGGCCCUUAUGUCUGGGGCUACACACGUGCUACAAUGGUCGGUACAGAAGGCAGCGAAGCCGCGAGGUGGAGCAAAUCCCAAAAAGCCGAUCUCAGUUCAGAUUGUAGUCUGCAACUCGACUACAUGAAGACGGAAUUGCUAGUAAUGGCGAGUCAGCAACAUCGCCGUGAAUACGUUCCCGGGUCUU
rnacentral:rRNA from 1 species